rnacentral:rRNA from 1 species
GCGGUGGAUGAUGUGGAUUAAUUCGAUGCAACGCGAAAACCUUACCUACCCUUGACAUGUCUGGAACCUUGGUGAGAGCCGAGGGUGCCUUCGGGAGCCAGAACACAGGUGCUGCAUGGCUGUCGUCAGCUCGUGUCGUGAGAUGUUGGGUUAAGUCCCGCAACGAGCGCAACCCUUGUCACUAGUUGCCAUCAUUUGGUUGGGCACUCUAGUGAGACUGCCGGUGACAAACCGGAGGAAGGUGGGGAUGACGUCAAGUCCUCAUGGCCCUUAUGGGUAGGGCUUCACACGUCAUACAAUGGAUGGUACAAAGGGUCGCCAACCCGCGAGGGGGAGCCAAUCCCAUAAAGCCAUUCGUAGUCCGGAUCGCAGUCUGCAACUCGACUGCGUGAAGUCGGAAUCGCUAGUAAUCGUGGAUCAGAAUGUCACGGUGAAUACGUUCCCGGGUCUU